GAAUAUCUCCUGGGAAUAGGGAAGGAUUUGUCUUCUUUUUCUCCUUUCUAAUACUGUCCAGAAAUGCCAGCACAGCUCUUUGGUGGUAUUUUUUUCCUGACGUCCAGUGAAGCAGGAGGGAGGCGGACAGGUCUCCGUUGGCCAUAGCGCAGCUGUCGUUACAGAAUGAGACAGGGAUGGACUGUGACAGAGAGAGUUUCAAAAUUAUCCAGCCAGGCUGUGAUAUUGAUGUUGUUCCACCAAACUGUGAGAUUCCAGCAUCAUCCACUCAUCCAGCAGUGUACUCCUGGAAGAUGACCCUCUGACACUCUGGCCAAAGCAGCUGUCUGAUUGGGCAAGCUGCUCAAUAGUACAGAGAGGACCACUCCACGGUCAAGAUAUUUCCAAGAAAUUGAGAUGGGCGCAGAUUUACUUUCAGCUAUUAUUUCAUUCAAAUGAAAAAUGGAAAACAGAUAACAUCAUGGCUUGUCUCAGGUAAAAAGAAGGACUUUAAUUUGCUUUUGCUGUUGCCUUUUUGAAAAUACAGGAUAGAGCAACCAGCUAAGUGAGAAUGGGCUUAGUGAGGGA